CUGCCGUCAGCCAGCCAGCCGCCGUCGCACUGGUCUAGCCCCGAGAACUUCCAGGCUGCGUAGAGGUGCCCAACCUUGGCCACCACGGCGCCGCGUCGCCGGCACGCCGCGUGGGCUUCAGACAGCGUCAGCCGCCCGGACCCCGCCCCAAGACCCUGUCUUCACCCCUCCCCUCACCCGCCAGCGCCGAGGUGAAGCAGAAGGCGUCGUAGCGGUCGCGCAUCAGGUCGCGGGGCCCGUAGCUGCGGAUCCCGGGCCUGCCUCGGCCGCCACACGGGGCGCGCGCGGUGAGCACAGGGUAGCGCACGGAGCCCUCGAGCAGCCAGCCCGCGUUACACCAGUCCAGACCCUCGGUCCACGCUGGCGGAAGACGGCGGGGGUCGGGGAUGAGAGGUGUUCCAGGCCGGAGCCAGACUGAGCUCGCCUGGCGCCCUCUGUCGGGCCCCUGCGACAGCUCGGCGGGGCCUGGGCUGUGCUGGGUUCGGCCGCUCACCCUGGUAGAGCUGGGAGUAGGUGGCCAGGCGUCCGUCCUGCUCCUCGCACGCCUGCUUCGCCUCGUAGUAAUUGAACUGGUACCGGCCCCGGCUGGGUUGGUACGGAAAUACCACACCUAGGGGGUGGCGGGGUGGCUGGGGAGGGCCAGCAGACGAUGGUGGAGGGGGAGGAAGGGCGGUGCUGCCUGGGAGAGGGAGCUGCGGUCCCCGGGGGUGCGAGGGAGAUACUGGGAAGGAGCCCGGGGAGACCCCAGGCGAGACGGCCCCGCCUGCUAGAGAGGAAUAGGGCGGGAGCGGAAGGGCCUCACCCUCCAGGCUCAGGGUCAGCGCCACGCUCUCGUCCUCAAUGCCGUUGAUGAGCUCGCAGCGGUACCGGCCCUCGUCCUCCAGGCGCACGCCCGCGAUGACCAGGGAGGCGUCUAGCCGAUGCCCCCUCCGCAUCCUGGCGCGCCCUCCCAGGGGCCCGUACCCCCGAGCUUGCAGUCCGUUGGUGACGAGGAUCAGCGUUUCCCGGAGCUCCCCGGGCUCCACCUUGCUCCAGCGCACCUUGUAGCUGGGAGGCGAGGUGCCCAGGACGCAGGGCAGCGUGGCCGUGGCCCCACGAUGAGAGUGAAUGACCUCGUGGAUGGGGGGCAGGAGGUAGUGGGGGCCCGGGUGGGAUGCUGAGCAGAGGGGGCCAGAGUGGCAGGAACCCCUUGAUCCUCACUGCCCCAAGUGCCCAUCAGACCCUGCUCCCCAAAUGCUUUCUCCAGAGCCCCCCAACCCUCUCCUCCAUUGCCUUCUCAGCAAUGACUUUCACUCCCUGGGUACCUGCAACAGCUGCCCUUUCCCCUUUCCCCACCCUUGCAGUCUCUGCAAGCCUUCCUCAGAGUCUGGGCUGGGCUGGGGUCUUACCUGGGUCUCCCUGGGCUUUAUGGAAGAUGGUGAAGGCCCAAAGGAGCAGGAAACAGCAGAGCGCGGGGAGGGUGAGCCAGCCUGGCAUGAUGGAGAGUUAGCCAGGAACUGUCUGCAGGGCAGGAAGGAUGGUAAGUUCUCAGGACUGAGGCAAAAGGGUGGGGAAGAGCAGGGUUGGGGGUGAACUCCCAUCAGAGAUUCCUAGAAGGGACUGUCCAGCUGGAAGCCACUGGGGCAGAGAAAAGGGGUUAGUGACAAAAGGAAGGUGAUGAGGGGAGGAAGGCAGUAGCAACCCCCUUCCUCUCCCUCUCUUCCUCUCACAUCCUCUCAGCCUGCAGGUACUAAUUUAGCACCUCCUCUACCUGUCCCCCUCAUCACAAGUGCUACUUCCCAAGCUUGCCAUCUGGACUGCCAACUCAUCUCUAUCCUCUCCCAGCACCCAUUCUCCAUCUUGAGAAUGCCAAAGUCAAAAUGAUCUUGUCACUCUCUUGCCUUUUUUUUUUUUGAGAUCAAGUCUCGCUCCAAGGUCCAGGCUGGAGUGCAGUGGCAUGAUCACGGCUCACUGCAGCCCCUAGCUUCUAGGCCCAGGUGAUCCUCCCACCUCAGCCUCCUGAGUAGCUGAGAAUACAGACAUGCGCUGCCACACCCAGCUACUUUUUUCUUUUUAAGUUUUUAUAGAGACCAGGUCCUGCUGUGUUGGCAAGGCUGGUGCUAGGAUUACAGCAGGCGACUGUGCCUGGCCUUAUCAUUCUCCUGUUGGAAAGUGACUUCUGAUUGCCCUGAGGAUAAAAUCCAGUGUCAUAACCACAGCUUCCAAGGCUGUCUAUAAUCUAGUUGCUCCAUGCACCGCCAGCCCGGCCCCGCCUCACCUCUUACCACGUUGGCCUCUGCACUGUGCCCCAGACAUGCUGGACUUCUGGCAGUUUCCCACACAGUCCAAGUUUGCACUCACUUCCUUUCUUUUGUGCCCGUCUUGGUUACACAGGCCUCACCUCCUUUGGGAAACCUUUCCUCACCCACAGUUUGCUACACUGUAGUGCACUGUCAUCUGCUGAACUGGGGACUUUUUUUUUGUUGAGACAGGAUUUCACUCCUUCACCCAGACUGGAGUGCGGUGGCAUGAUCACGGCUUACUGCAGCCUCCUCCCAGGCUCAAGCCAUCCUCCCACCUCAGCCUCCCGAGUAGCUGGGACUAUUGGCACACACCACCACGCCCCACUAAUUUUUUUUUCUUUUGUAUUUUUUGUAGCGAUGGAGCUUCGACAUGUUGCCCAGGCUGGUCUUAACUCCUGGGCUCAAGUAAUCCAUCUGCCUUGGCCUCCCGGAAUGCUGGGAUUACAAGCCCGGGCCAGCACUUUUUGUCUUACAAGUACUCUUACUGGCACCUAAAUUUAACAGUGUGAGUUUGAACUAUAUGCAUAUGCAUAUAUAGACUAUAUCAAGUAGGUUUUCCAAAAACUAUGAAGUUAAAAAAUAUAAAAUUAUAAAGUUUUUUUUAAAAAACUAUUUUAAAUGCAAUUAUCUAUUUCAGUACAGUAGUUGAUACCCCUCCUCUUUAUUUAUUUAUUUUUUUAAUUUUUUUUUAGAGACAGGAUCUCUAAAAUGUUGCCCAGGUUGGCCUCCAACUCCUGGGCUCAAGGAAUCCUCCCACCUCAGCCUCCCAAUUAGCUGGAACUACAGGUCUGAGUCACUGCAUCCGGUUCCUCCUUUAUUGUAUCAUUCUUAUCACCCUGACCUUUAAAAAAAAAAAUGAACCCACCAACAAAAAAAGAAAAAAAAAUGAACUGGGUCAGGCACAGUGGCUCAUCCCUGUAAUCCCAACACUUUGGAAGGCCAAGGCGGGUGGAUCACUUGAAGUCAGGAGUUCAAGACCAACGUGGCCAACAUGGUGAAAUCCCAUCUCUACUAAAAACAAAAAAUGUAGCUGGGUGUGAUGGCAUGCACCUGUCAUCACAGCUACUCAGGAGGCUGAGGCAGGAGAAUCGUUUGAACCCAGGAGGUGGAGGCUGCAGUGAGCCGAGUUCGUCCCACUGUAUUCCAGCCUGGGGGGUAGAGCAAGACCCUGUCUCCAAGAAAAUAAAAAAAUUGACUGAA